AAACAGGGACUUCUCGCAAGAGACUGUAGUCGAGGUGCUGCAUGGCUGUCGUCAGCUCGUGUCGUGAGAUGUUGGGUUAAGUCCCGCAACGAGCGCAACCCUUGUCCUGUGUUGCCAUCAUUUAGUUGGGAACUCUCAGGAGACCGCCAGCGAUAAGCUGGAGGAAGGUGGGGAUGAUGUCAAGUCAUCAUGGCCUUUAUGUCCAGGGCUACACACGUGCUACAAUGGCCGGUACAAAGCGCUGCAAACUCGCAAGAGGGAGCUAAUCGCAAAAAACCGGUCUCAGUUCGGAUCGCAGGCUGCAACUCGCCUGCGUGAAGCUGGAAUCGCUAGUAACGCCGUAUCAGAACGAUGGCGUGAAUACGUUCCCGGGCCUUGUACACACCGCCCGUCACAUCACGAAAGUGGAUUGUACUAGAAGUCCUAAUCAAACAGGCCCAAGGUAUGAUUCAUGAUUGGGGUGAAGUCGUAACAAGGUAACCGUAA
rnacentral:rRNA from 1 species